rnacentral:rRNA from 1 species
GAUGAACGCUGGCGGCGUGCCUAAUACAUGCAAGUCGAGCGAACAGACGAGGAGCUUGCUCCUCUGACGUUAGCGGCGGACGGGUGAGUAACACGUGGAUACCCUACCUAUAAGACUGGGAUAACUUCGGGAAACCGGAGCUAAUACCGGAUAAUAUAUUGAACCGCAUGGUUCAAUAGUGAAAGACGGUUUUGCUGUCACUUAUAGAUGGAUCCGCGCCGCAUUAGCUAGUUGGUAAGGUAACGGCUUACCAAGGCAACGAUGCGUAGCCGACCUGAGAGAGGGAUAGGCGACACUGGAACUGAGACGCGGUCCAGACUCCUACGGGAGGCAGCAGUAGGGAAUCUUCCGCAAUGGGGGAAAGCCUGACGGAGCAACGCGGCGUGAGUGAUGAAGGUCUUCGGAUCGUAAAACUCUGUUAUGAGGGAAGAACAAAUGUGUAAGUAACUAUGCAGGUAGUGACGGUACCUAAUCAGAAAGCAACGGCUAACUACGUG